rnacentral:rRNA from 1 species
GAUGAGCGCUGGCGGCGUGCCUAACACAUGCAAGUCGAGCGAUCUUCUUCGGAAGAGAGCGGCGGACGGUGAGUAACGCGUGGGUAACCUGCCCUGUACACACGGAUAACAUACCGAAAGGUAUGCUAAUACGAGAUAAUAUGCUUUUAUCGCAUGGUAGAAGUAUCAAAGCUCCGGCGGUACAGGAUGGACCCGCGUCUGAUUAGCUAGUUGGUAAGGUAACGGCUUACCAAGGCGACGAUCAGUAGCCGACCUGAGAGGUGAUCGGCCACAUUGGAACUGAGACACGGUCCAAACUCCUACGGGAGGCAGCAGUGGGGAAUAUUGCACAAUGGGCGAAAGCCUGAUGCAGCAACGCCGCGUGAGCGAUGAAGGCCUUC